rnacentral:lncRNA from 1 species
AUGGUGUUGGGUAUAAAAUACCCACAGCCGAAGUUCUCAGCGGGAUUGACUUUUGCAGGCUCCGUCCACGACUUCAACCACAAGGAGGACUCCGCCCGGACUCCUACGGGAGCUGGGCUCCAUCACUGACUUCAACUGCAGGAAGACUCCGUCCGAACUCCUACGGGAGCCGGGCUCCGUCACCAACUUCAACUGCUGGUAAGCUCCGUCCGGACUCCUACGGGGGCCGGACUUCGCAC